AUGAGAGGGGAUGAGUUCGUUGGUGUUUUUUGUUUUUUCAUUCAUGCCCUGCGCAGUCGCCAUGGAUCCCACGAGGUUGAGCUCAAAUACAUGUGGGACACACACCCUCUUCUCCUUGGAAAGGAGGUUGAUGUUCUCUCUUGCCGUUCAUCUUUUGGAGCUGCCAGCAAUGGGCACGACGACCGGGCUGCUAGAUCAGGCACCGCUGCAUCACCAUGGUGCGCGACGGCGGCGACCGGCGCCUGCUGGGGAAGCGAUGUGGGAACCAGCACGCCUCGUAGCUGGAAUCAGCCAACUGGGAAGCUGCAACCGGCAUCCCCUGAUGCUGGAAGCAGUGUCCCCUAA
rnacentral:rRNA from 1 species